GUUAAGCGACUAAGCGUACACGGUGGAUGCCCUGGCAGUCAGAGGCGAUGAAGGGCGUGCUAAUCUGCGAUAAGCGCCGGUAAGGUGAUAUGAACCGUUAUAACCGGCGAUACCCGAAUGGGGAAACCCAGUGUGAUUCGUCACACUAUCAUUAACUGAAUCCAUAGGUUAAUGAGGCGAACCGGGGGAACUGAAACAUCUAAGUACCCCGAGGAAAAGAAAUCAACCGAGAUUCCCCCAGUAGCGGCGAGCGAACGGGGAGGAGCCCAGAGCCUGAAUCAGCAUGUGUGUUAGUGGAAGCGUCUGGAAAGGCGCGCGAUACAGGGUGACAGCCCCGUACACAAAAGCGCAUGUGCUGUGAGCUCGAUGAGUAGGGCGGGACACGUGGUAUCCUGUCUGAAUAUGGGGGGACCAUCCUCCAAGGCUAAAUACUCCUGACUGACCGAUAGUGAACCAGUACCGUGAGGGAAAGGCGAAAAGAACCCCGGCGAGGGGAGUGAAAAAGAACCUGAAACCGUGUACGUACAAGCAGUGGGAGCACCCUUCGGGGUGUGACUGCGUACCUUUUGUAUAAUGGGUCAGCGACUUAUAUUCUGUAGCAAGGUUAACCGUAUAGGGGAGCCGGAGGGAAACCGAGUCUUAACCGGGCGUUAAGUUGCAGGGUAUAGACCCGAAACCCGGUGAUCUAGCCAUGGGCAGGUUGAAGGUUGGGUAACACUAACUGGAGGACCGAACCGACUAAUGUUGAAAAAUUAGCGGAUGACCUGUGGCUGGGGGUGAAAGGCCAAUCAAACCGGGAGAUAGCUGGUUCUCCCCGAAAGCUAUUUAGGUAGCGCCUCGUGAAUUCAUCUCCGGGGGUAGAGCACUGUUUCGGCUAGGGGGCCAUCCCGGCUUACCAACCCGAUGCAAACUGCGAAUACCGGAGAAUGUUAUCACGGGAGACACACGGCGGGUGCUAACGUCCGUCGUGAAGAGGGAAACAACCCAGACCGCCAGCUAAGGUCCCAAAGUCAUGGUUAAGUGGGAAACGAUGUGGGAAGGCCCAGACAGCCAGGAUGUUGGCUUAGAAGCAGCCAUCAUUUAAAGAAAGCGUAAUAGCUCACUGGUCGAGUCGGCCUGCGCGGAAGAUGUAACGGGGCUAAACCAUGCACCGAAGCUGCGGCAGCGAACGUAUCACCCAAGACAACUUUACGGAGUUGACGAUUGACGGAGCGAAGCGACGUCAAAGCGUUCAUUAAAGUCGAGUUGGCUUAGGGAUACGUUCGUUGGGUAGGGGAGCGUUCUGUAAGCCUGUGAAGGUGUGUCGUGAGGCAUGCUGGAGGUAUCAGAAGUGCGAAUGCUGACAUAAGUAACGAUAAAGCGGGUGAAAAGCCCGCUCGCCGGAAGACCAAGGGUUCCUGUCCAACGUUAAUCGGGGCAGGGUGAGUCGACCCCUAAGGCGAGGCCGAAAGGCGUAGUCGAUGGGAAACGGGUUAAUAUUCCCGUACUUGGUGUUACUGCGAAGGGGGGACGGAGAAGGCUAUGUUGGCCGGGCGACGGUUGUCCCGGUUUAAGCGUGUAGGUGUGUGUUCCAGGUAAAUCCGGUUCACUUUAACACUGAGGCGUGACGACGAGGCACUACGGUGCUGAAGCAACAAAUGCCCUGCUUCCAGGAAAAGCCUCUAAGCAUCAGGUAACAUCAAAUCGUACCCCAAACCGACACAGGUGGUCAGGUAGAGAAUACCAAGGCGCUUGAGAGAACUCGGGUGAAGGAACUAGGCAAAAUGGUGCCGUAACUUCGGGAGAAGGCACGCUGACACGUAGGUGAAGUGAUUUACUCA
rnacentral:rRNA from 1 species